AUGAUGAAAUGGGGCCGAAACCCACGGUUCAGUCUUCCGCCUCCAAUUCCGAACCCCCUGACAGGUGCCUUAUCCCCGCUUAAGCACACCACCCCCACCUCUGGCUCUUUUCAAGCUCGACACCCCCCUUCAAAGAGGCCCACAGGCGGGCGGAUACAGCCGUCGUCUUCCCGCAGAGGGCCACCAGAAGCCGGCCAGCCGGGGAAGCCGGCCGGGAAGCAGCAGCCGUGGCGGCACACGGGGGAGAAGUCGCGUGGGAGAGCGCAGCAGGCGCGGACGUGGAGAGGGGGCGGGGGGGGGGUAGGGAGGUGGCCAGUGCGGCGGGGGACGGGAGCGAGAGGGGCAGUGGGGCAGUGGCAGGAGGAACUCGAGAGCCGAGGCGGGCCACUGGAGGGACCGGCCGGAGAGGGGAGAACACUGGGGGAGAGAGGACAGACUGGUUGGGGAAGGGACGUACACGCAGAAGAGAGACCGAAGACUCUGGGGGUUAGAGACGCGGAAGGGAAUGAAACCCUGUGAGAACCUGUCUAUUGUAAUAGAGACUUCUACAAAAGAAGACAAAGGUCACUGAGGUCCACCUUAGACCCCCAAGACUUGAAGGACAUGAUAGACUGUGGGAAAUGGGGAAGCUUUCUCAAUUGAUGUUGCUAAAGUGAAGUGUCUUUCUUCUGGCUCCCUGUCUCUGCUGAUCUCUGCUGAUCCAGAAUGCCCCCAGAAGCCAAUUCGCAAUACAUGAGCCUUAGUCUCCCUUCUACCAUUGGUAAUCAAGGUUCCACUCACAAGUCCUCUGGGAAACAUCACCCUCCUUCCUUGUGAUGGUCAUUUUUCCUUGUGAUAGUCCAUGGCAGAAUCACUAUGACCAGAAAACUGGAUCACCCUCCAUAGGAUUCGUAGGUUAGUCCUAGAUUGAACAAAUAACCUUCAAAUACCCAUUGAUCACCCCAGAUAGGAUUUGUAGAUAUAAUCAAAAUCCUAAGUCAUACCCUUGGUGUCUUCUUAAUUUCUCUUAUUGUGGCUAGAUCCUGCUCGAGGAGGAAUCUAGCCUAUGACUAGCAUCCUCUUACCCUAUCCUUCAUAUAGGAUAAUCAGUUGUUCUUCCUUUCCUAUUCUCAUCUAAAGACUCCAGAUUCUUUAGUUCCACAGAUAUUCCAUUCUUGGGGGUUUUCCUGCAGACAAUGUUCCCAGAGUUUGAGAGCUGGGUGGCUUUUUGUGGUGGUCAGCCAGAAGAGCAUUGCCUCCCUUGACCUGAUUAAAGACCUUGGGACAUGAAAAUCAAAGUCCACAACACAGCACGCAUGCACGCGCGCUCUAAUACUCAUUAAAAAUGGAACAUUAAAAAUGGAAAAAUGAUUCAUUUCUGUAUGAAGAUAAAAAAAAGAUAAAUAUCAGCUUUGGCUUAAUAGAGGAUUCACUUUAAGAUGACUGAGGGAGUUUGUGCCUUGGAUAGUUCUGGCAGCAGAAACCAGCUUCCAAGAGACUAGAAAGUUGCUGUGCUAAGUCUUCAUCCUAUAGAAGACAA
ensembl:lncRNA